AGGUCCCACUGCCACUGGAUCGGGAUGGGACCCUGGUACGGCUCCGCUUCACCAUGGUGGCCCUGGUCACGGUCUGCUGUCCACUUGUCGCCUUCCUCUUCUGCAUCCUCUGGUCCCUGCUCUUCCACUUCAAGGAGACAACGGCCACACACUGUGGGGACUGAGGCUUCAAUAGGAGUUCCAGGCAUUAAGAUGGAUGGUGGAGAUGCACAAGAACAUGGUCAUUUCCUUAGACUACCCCAGGCAGGUUCCAGUCUGCGGGGGAGAUGGAGAAGGUCCCACCAUGCUCCUGCACAAAUCUCAGGAUAGCUGGGGAAUGAGAAUCCAGCACUUUGGGCCUAGGACCUAGAAGGAGAGGUCUUUUGGGAGAGGUGCCCAAUUACCUGCCCUCGGUGAGCUCAGCCAUCGGUGGGGAGGUGCCCCAGCGCUACGUGUGGCGUUUCUGCAUCGGCCUGCACUCGGCGCCUCGCUUCUUGGUGGCCUUCGCCUACUGGAACCACUACCUCAGCUGUACCUCCCCGUGUUCCUGCUAUCGCCCGCUCUGCCGCCUCAACUUCGGCCUCAAUGUCGUGGAGAACCUCGCGUUGCUAGUGCUCACUUAUGUCUCCUCCUCUGAGGACUUCAGUGGGUGCCCGGAUGAGGGAGGAGUGGGGAAGGGUUCCCUGAGGGGACGGGCCUGCCCCUACCACUUUCGGACCUUCCUACUUAGUGGUGUGGGCACUCCCUGCAAUGUGGCUCCCAAUCCUCUUUCCCUCCAGCCGUCCAUGAAAAUGCUUUCAUUGUGUUCAUUGCCUCAUCCCUCGGGCACAUGCUCCUCACCUGCAUUCUCUGGCGGUUGACCAAGAA
rnacentral:sRNA from 1 species